GCGCACCAGGCGAGAAUUUUUCUCAAUGGGCGAAAGCCUGAAGGAGCGACGCCGCGUGGGGGAUGAAUGGCUUCGGCCCGUAAACCCCUGUCAUUUGCGAACAAAUUGACUCACCCAACACGUGUGUCAUUGAUUGUAGCGGAAGAGGAAGGGACGGCUAACUCUGUGCCAGCAGCCGCGGUAAUACAGAGGUCCCAAGCGUUGUUCGGAUUCACUGGGCGUAAAGGGUGCGUAGGCGGUUGGGUAAGUCUGACGUGAAAUCUCCGGGCCUAACCCGAAACUGCGUUGGAUACUAUCCGGCUAGAGGAAUGGAGGGGAGACUGGAAUACUUGGUGUAGCAGUGAAAUGCGUAGAUAUCAAGUGGAACACCAGUGGCGAAGGCGAGUCUCUGGACAUUUCCUGACGCUGAGGCACGAAAGCCAGGGGAGCAAACGGGAUUAGAUACCCCGGUAGUCCCUGA
rnacentral:rRNA from 1 species